rnacentral:rRNA from 1 species
AUGGCAUGCUAUCGGUUCCUCGGCGACGCGCUGGUCUCGUGGUCGUUGCAGCGCCAGCCCACGGCCUCCCGCUCCAGCGUGGAGGCAGAGUACCGUAGCGUGGCCAACGCCGUGGCCGAGUGUGUCUGGCUUCGACAACUCCUCCGCGAGCUCCGCUGCGCGGUCACCACUGCAUGCAACGCUGGUCUACUGCGACAACAUCUCCACCGUGUACCUAUCCAGCAACCCCGUUCACCACCGCGACACCAAGCAUGUCGCUGGACAUCCACCUGUAUAAGUCUAACCUUGAUCAAUGCAAUCGGUGUGUUCCCCCUGUAUAAGUCUAACCUUAAUGGCUUCUACACAGAGCGGAUGGCUGCAGGUGGACGAUGCUGCGAGUUUUGGAGAAGGCAUCCUCGUGGUCGUGGCUUUCUUAGCAGGAACAGGUGA